UACGUAGGGUGCAAGCGUUGUCCGGAAUUAUUGGGCGUAAAGAGCUCGUAGGCGGUCUGUCGCGUCGGCUGUGAAAUCCCGAGGCUCAACCUCGGGCCUGCAGUCGAUACGGGCAGACUAGAGUGCGGUAGGGGAGACUGGAAUUCCUGGUGUAGCGGUGAAAUGCGCAGAUAUCAGGAGGAACACCAAUGGCGAAGGCAGCUCGCUGGGACGGUACUGACGCUGAGACGCGAAAGCGUGGGGAGCAAACAGG
rnacentral:rRNA from 1 species